rnacentral:lncRNA from 1 species
AUGAUGUGUUUCGAAAACCUCGAUUCUAUCAGAGAAGUGUGAUGACGUCAGAUGUUACGUAAAAGUUCUUAUUGAAAAUAUAAAAUUUUAAUAUGGAAUUUUUAAUAUGAAUUUAGCAGAUAUAGAAAUGAACUACUUAAUACAAGAAAUCGUCCAGAAUGACGUCAUUAGCCGGAGUGACCCGGAUGUGUGUUCUGACGCUAUGCGCAAUAUUCGAUGCGCACAGUGUUCUGGUUCGACGUCAAGAUGGCGGAAGCAGUUCAGACAUCUUGUGCAUCGCCAAGAUUGAAGCGUCCUAGACUGGAUAAUAAUGAUCAUAUAGUGCUGUCUUUGACUUCGUAUGACAGUAAAUUGGACAACUGCGUCGAUCGUGGUGAAGAUGGAUGUUUCGCCGUACCUUAUGGUGAGUAUAUAGGAUGGAUAGUAUAAUCGAUGUCGGGAAUGCGUCAUCUUGUUGCCAGGUUGGCACAAGCGCCUUUCUACGGAAGGCCGAGUCGGUCACGUGAUGCUGGGAGGUUUUUUGCUUCGACAGCGUUUCCUCUAUGGCGCACACGUGGACUUGUUUAUAUACGACCUGACAGUUCAUUUUAAAAUUUUAAAGAAUAAAUUAACAUUAGUUGACAAAUAUUAUGGGACGAUUAAUAGAUAUUAAUAACAUGAAUUUAUUUCGUGUUAGUUAGUGCCGAAAUGUAAAUGAUACUCAGUUCAUGAUGUUUAAAAACGCAAAAUUUGUCUGUAAUAUAGUUUUUAUCGUCAUGAUGUAUAGUAAAUAUAACGCUU